rnacentral:rRNA from 1 species
UGUUAUUAGAAAUAAUUAAUAAUAAAAUCUGCUCAAUGAUUUAAUUUAAUAGCCGCACUCGUGCUAAGGUAGCAUAAUCACUUGUCUUUUAAUUAAAGACUAGAACAAAUGAUUUAACAUUUAAAUAAAUUUCUUUAUUUUAUUAUUUUAAAUUAUUUUAAAUGUAAAAAAACAUUUAUUUAAAAAUAAGACGAUAAGACCCUAUCGAACUUUACUUAAGUUUAACUGGGGCAGUUAAUUAAUUAUUAUUUUAAAAAUAAUAAAUAAACAAAAGACCUAAUAUAAUUAAUUACAUGACCAAGUUACCGUAGGGAUAACAGUGUAAUAUUAUUUUAAAGAUCUUAUUAAAAAUAAUGAUUGCAACCUCGAUGUUGACUAAUAACCUUUUUAACGCAAUAGUUUUUAAAGGAAGUCUGUUCGACUUUUAAACAAUUACA